AUUUAAAUAGCUUAAGGUAAGAGUUUAAUAUUGAAGAUAUUACGGUAACAUAAAUUGUUUUUAAAUGA